rnacentral:rRNA from 1 species
UACAGAGGUCUCAAGCGUUGUUCGGAUUCAUUGGGCGUAAAGGGUGCGUAGGCGGCGCGGUAAGUCGGGUGUGAAAUCUCGGGGCUUAACUCCGAAACUGCAUUCGAUACUGCCGUGCUUGAGGACUGGAGAGGAGACUGGAAUUACGGUGUAGCGGUGAAAUGCGUAGAUAUCGUAAGGAAGACCAGUGGCGAAGGCGGGUCUCUGGACAGUUCCUGACGCUGAGGCACGAAGGCCAGGGGAGCAAACGGG